GGUCCAGUGGUGUAGUGGUUAUCACGUCUGCUUUACACGCAGAAGGCCGACGGUUCGAACCCGUCUUGGAUCA
rnacentral:tRNA from 1 species